rnacentral:rRNA from 1 species
UACAGAGGUCUCAAGCGUUGUUCGGAAUUACUGGGCGUAAAGGGCCAGUAGGCGGCCAACUAAGUCACACGUGAAAUCCCCGGGCUUAACCCGGGAACUGCGUGUGAUACUGGAUGGCUUGAAUUCGGGAGAGGGAUGCAGAAUUCCAGGUGUAGCGGUGAAAUGCGUAGAUAUCUGGAGGAAUACCGGUGGCGAAGGCGGCAUCCUGGACCGACAUUGACGCUGAACGGCGAAAGCUAGGGGAGCAAACGGG